rnacentral:rRNA from 1 species
UACGUAGGGGGCAAGCGUUGUCCGGAAUUAUUGGGCGUAAAGAGCGCGUAGGCGGUCCGAUAAGUCGGCUGUGAAAGUCAAGGGCUCAACCCUUGAAAGCCGGCCGAUACUGUCGGACUAGAGUCCGGAAGAGGCGAGUGGAAUUCCCGGUGUAGCGGUGAAAUGCGCAGAUAUCAGGAGGAACACCAAUGGCGAAGGCAGCUCGCUGGGACGUGACUGACGCUGAGACGCGAAAGCGUGGGGAGCAAACAGG